GGCGGUGGUUGUCCCGGGGUAAGGGUGUAGGACGUUGUGUAGGCAAAUCCGCACAACACGUAGUCUGAGACCUGAUGCCGAGCCGAUUGUGGUGAAGUGGAUGAUCCUAUGCUGUCGAGAAAAGCCUCUAGCGAGUUUCAUGGCGGCCCGUACCCUAAACCGACUCAGGUGGUCAGGUAGAGAAUACCGAGGCGUUCGGGUG
rnacentral:rRNA from 1 species